rnacentral:rRNA from 1 species
UACGUAGGGACCGAGCGUUGUCCGGAAUCAUUGGGCGUAAAGAGCGUGUAGGCGGCCACUUAAGUCCUGCGUGAAAUCUUGCGGCUCAACCGCAAGCGGUCGUGGGAAACUGGGUGGCUAGAGUGCGGGAGAGGAGAGUGGAAUUCCUGGUGUAGCGGUGGAAUGCGCAGAUAUCAGGAAGGAACACCCGUGGCGAAAGGCGGCUCUCUGGAACGCAACUGACGCUGAGACGCGAAAGCGUGGGGAGCAAACAGG